UACGUAGGGUGCAAGCGUUAAUCGGAAUUACUGGGCGUAAAGCGUGCGCAGGCGGUUUUGUAAGUCUGUCGUGAAAUCCCCGGGCUCAACCUGGGAAUUGCGAUGGAGACUGCAAGGCUAGAAUCUGGCAGAGGGGGGGUAGAAUUCCACGUGUAGCAGUGAAAUGCGUAGAGAUGUGGAGGAACACCGAUGGCGAAGGCAGCCCCCUGGGUCAAGACUGACGCUCAUGCACGAAAGCGUGGGGAGCAAACGAGG
rnacentral:rRNA from 1 species